UGCUCCCGGAUGUUAGCGGCGGACGGGUGAGUAACACGUGGGUAACCUGCCUGUAAGACUGGGAUAACUCCGGGAAACCGGAGCUAAUACCGGAUAGUUCCUUGAACCGCAUGGUUCAAGGAUGAAAGACGGUUUCGGCUGUCACUUACAGAUGGACCCGCGGCGCAUUAGCUAGUUGGUGGGGUAAUGGCUCACCAAGGCGACGAUGCGUAGCCGACCUGAGAGGGUGAUCGGCCACACUGGGACUGAGACACGGCCCAGACUCCUACGGGAGGCAGCAGUAGGGAAUCUUCCGCAAUGGACGAAAGUCUGACGGAGCAACGCCGCGUGAGUGAUGAAGGUUUUCGGAUCGUAAAGCUCUGUUGUUAGGGAAGAACAAGUGCGAGAGUAACUGCUCGCACCUUGACGGUACCUAACCAGAAAGCCACGGCUAACUACGUGCCAGCAGCCGCGGUAAUACGUAGGUGGCAAGCGUUGUCCGGAAUUAUUGGGCGUAAAGGGCUCGCAGGCGGUUUCUUAAGUCUGAUGUGAAAGCCCCCGGCUCAACCGGGGAGGGUCAUUGGAAACUGGGAAACUUGAGUGCAGAAGAGGAGAGUGGAAUUCCACGUGUAGCGGUGAAAUGCGUAGAGAUGUGGAGGAACACCAGUGGCGAAGGCGACUCUCUGGUCUGUAACUGACGCUGAGGAGCGAAAGCGUGGGGAGCGAACAGGAUUAGAUACCCUG
rnacentral:rRNA from 1 species